AUUGAACGCUGGCGGCAGGCCUAACACAUGCAAGUCGAGCGGCAGCGGGAAAGUAGCUUGCUACUUUUGCCGGCGAGCGGCGGACGGGUGAGUAAUGCCUGGGAAAUUGCCCAGUCGAGGGGGAUAACAGUUGGAAACGACUGCUAAUACCGCAUGCGCCCUACGGGGGAAAGCAGGGGACCUUCGGGCCUUGCGCGAUUGGAUAUGCCCAGGUGGGAUUAGCUAGUUGGUGAGGUAAUGGCUCACCAAGGCGACGAUCCCUAGCUGGUCUGAGAGGAUGAGCAGUCACACUGGAACUGAGACACGGUCCAGACUCCUACGGGAGGCAGCAGUGGGGAAUAUUGCACAUUGGGGGAAACCCUGAUGCAGCCAUGCCGCGUGUGUGAAGAAGGCCUUCGGGUUGUAAAGCACUUUCAGCGAGGAGGAAAGGUUGAUGCCUAAUACGUAUCAACUGUGACGUUACUCGCAGAAGAAGCACCGGCUAACUCCGUGCCAGCCGCCGCGGUAAAAC
rnacentral:rRNA from 1 species